GGGGGGGGGGGGGGGGGGGGGGGGGGGGGGCGGGGGGGGCGGGGGGGGCCGGGUGGGGGGGGGGGCGGGGGUGGCGGGCGGGGGGGUAACACGUGAGUAACCUGCCCUUUCCUGUGGGAUAACUUCCGGCACCUGGGGCUAGUACCGGGUCGGCGCUCCUGCUGCAUGGUGGGUGUUGGAACGUUUCGGCGGUUGGGGAUGGACUCGCGGCUUAUCAGCUUGUUGGUGGGGUAGCGGCUUACCAAGGCUUUGACGGGUAGCCGGCCUGAGAGGGUGACAGGCCACAUUGGGACUGAGAUACGGCCCAGACUCCUACGGGAGGCAGCAGUGGGGAAUAGUGCACAAUGGGCGGAAGCCUGAUGCAGCAACGCCGCGUGCGGGAUGACGGCCUUCGGGUUGUAAACCGCUUUCGCCUGUGACGAAGCGUGAGUGACGGUAAUGGGUAAAGAAGCACCGGCUAACUACGUG
rnacentral:rRNA from 1 species